rnacentral:rRNA from 1 species
UAAGGAAUAUUGGUCAAUGGACGAAAGUCUGAACCAGCCAUGCCGCGUGGAGGAUGAAGGCCCUCUGGGUUGUAAACUUCUUUUAUAGGGGACGAAAAAGGGUCUUUCUAGAUCAACUGACGGUACCCUAGGAAUAAGCACCGGCUAACUCCGUGCCAGCAGCCGCGGUAAUACGGAGGGUGCAAGCGUUAUCCGGAUUCACUGGGUUUAAAGGGUGCGUAGGUGGGUCAGUAGUCAGUGGUGAAAUCUUCGAGCUUAACUCGGAAACUGCCAUUGAUACUAUUAGUCUUGUAUAUUGUGGAGGUUAGCGGAAUAUGUCAUGUAGCGGUGAAAUGCUUAGAUAUGACAUAGGACACCAAUUGCGAAGGCAGCUGGCUACACAUAUAUUGACACUGAGGCACGAAAGCGUGGGGAUCAAACA